GAUUUUCCAACAAGUUAUCAGAAUUUUCAAUUGUGUUUAUAAUUUGAAGCGACUCUGCUUUUCAGUUUAUACUGUUUGGCUCUUUUGUGCUUCUUUGGGCUGUUUCUAUAUUUUUGGACAACUUGCUUACCCUUUCGCUAAUUUUCUUUUCUUAAAUAUGUCUGUUGCAGUUGUUACAGUGGAGAUUCACAAUGGAAAAUUUACAAGAUUUCCCUGAAGAGAGCUGUACAAAGCACUCUUAUCUCGCUGCUGUUAUAAAGGUUUGGUUAUUUGGAAUUGUAAAUUAGUUCUUCAAGAGCUUUGAAACUGACUUGUGCUGGGCAUAGAAUGAAAGUUCUCAGCCUAACAUGACCUAUUAGCACGAUCCAUUUGGGCCAAGUCAUGACCAGGUCUAAACUCUAAAUCCUGGUUGGCCAGCCAAGAAAUUUGAAUUUUCUUUUAUCUGCUAUUAAAAAAGUUGAAUAAACUCAUUUAUAGGGAGGAUCAAUGAUCAGGUCAUUUUGGAUAAAAUGAUUUAAUUAAUUGACUAAUUCUUUGGAUUCAUAUUACAUUCCCAUCUUCAUAUGAUUAUAAUUGAAGUAUAGAGUAGACUGAUACCGUACAAAUACUUUGAUACUUUAAAAUGGGAAAAA
rnacentral:lncRNA from 1 species